GACGAACGCUGGCGGCGUGCUUAACACAUGCAAGUCGAACGAAGUGGCGAACGGGUGAGUAAUACGUGGGUAACCUGCCCUACUUUUUGGGAUAAGCCUUGGAAACGGGGUCUAAUACCGAAUAAAGGGGGAUGGGCUCGGGGCGGAUCAGAUUGUUGGUGGGGGGCUGGCCUACCAAGGCGGGGACGGGUAGCCGGCCUGAGAGGGUGCACUGCCACAUUAGGACUGAGAUAAGGCCCAGGCACCUACGUGAGGCAGCAGGGUGGGAUAUUGCACAAGGGGCGAAAGCCUGAUUCAGGGACGCCGCGUGGGGGAUGAAGGCGUUCGGGGUGUAAACCUCUUUCGCUAGCGAACGGGUAGGUGGAGAAGAAGCGCCGGCUAACUACGUGCCAGCAGCCGCGGUAAUAC
rnacentral:rRNA from 1 species